GUGUCAGCAGCCGCGGUAAGACAGAGGGUGCAAACGUUGUUCGGAAUUACUGGGCGUAAAGCGAGUGUAGGCGGUUUGAUAAGUCGGAUGUGAAAGCCCUGGGCUCAACCCAGGAAGUGCACUCGAUACUGUCAAGCUAGAGUAUCGGAGAGGUUGGUGGAAUUCUCGGUGUAGAGGUGAAAUUCGUAGAUAUCGAGAGGAACACCGGUGGCGAAGGCGGCCAACUGGACGAAUACUGACGCUGAGACUCGAAAGCGUGGGGAGCAAACAGGAUUAGAUACCCUGGUAGUCC
rnacentral:rRNA from 1 species